rnacentral:rRNA from 1 species
CCUACGGGGGGCUGCAGUGAGGAAUAUUGGUCAAUGGACGAGAGUCUGAACCAGCCAAGUAGCGUGAAGGAUGAAGGCCCUAUGGGUUGUAAACUUCUUUUAUGUGGGAACAAAACGUUCUACGCGUGGGCUUUUGUAUGUACCACAUGAAUAAGGAUCGGCUAACUCCGUGCCAGCAGCCGCGGUAAUACGGAGGGUCCGAGCGUUAUCCGGAUUUAUUGGGUUUAAAGGGUGCGUAGGUGGAUUGUUAAGUCAGUUGUGAAAGUUUGAGGCUCAACCGUAAAAUUGCAGUUGAAACUGGCUGUCUUGAGUACAGUAGAGGUGGGCGGAAUUCGUGGUGUAGCGGUGAAAUGCGUAGAUAUCACGAAGAACUCCGAUUGCGAAGGCAGUUCACUGGACUGCAACUGACGCUGAGGCACGAAAGUGUGGGUAUCAAACAGGAUUAGAUACCCCAGUAGUC